GAAGCACUGCGCCUGCACGAAGUUGAGGCCCAGGUUGAGCGCCACCGCCGUGCCCUGCCCCGCCGACCGCACCUCCACCGGGUAUAUCUCGCCGGGGAUGGUCCAGUACAGCGCACCCCACGACCAGCUGAAGCUGGCCGAGAAGACGCACGUCAGCACCAGCACCGCCACCGCGUACCCCUUGGGCAUCUUGCUGCCGUGCCCCAGGUCUUUGUUGUAUGCAUUGCAUGCCUGGCAGGUGAACAUGAGCGCGCCGCCGAUCGCGAAGAGCAGCUUCCGGCCGUAGCGGUCCAUGGCGACGCCCGAGGCGAUGAUGCCGCCGAUGUUCAUCAGGCCGAGGAUGAUGGCGCCCAUCAGCGCCGCGUCGCUACCGAACCCUAUGGUCCGGAAGAGUAUCGGCGAGAAGAAGGCCGACACGGUCACGCCGGUGAGGUUCAGGAACACGGGGAACGCCACGGCCAUCACCAGGUACGGCCGGUACUCCCGCCGCAGGAUCCGCCGGAACGCGCCCUCCUGGUUCCGCCGGUCGUGCUCCACGGCGGCCAGUAUGUCGCCGAACUCCGCGUCAACGUCCACGCCCUUGCCGCGGACGCGCUGGAGCGCGGCGCGGGCAUGGUCGUGCUUCCCGCGCAGGACGAGGCUGCUCGGUGUGUCCGUGAUGAGCACGGCGCCCAGCACCAUGACGGCGGCGGGGACGGCCGCGAGGCCGAGGGACAGGCGCCAGCCCCAUUCGGGAAUCCGCGACGUGCCGUAGUUGAUCAGGUUGGCGACGAGGUACCCCACGCUGAUGAACAGAGGGAACGCGGAGAUGAACCCGCCGCGCCACCGCGGUGGCGACAUCUCGGCAAGGUAGACCGGCGUGGCCUGGCCGGAGAACCCGAGGCCCAGGCCGAGCAGCAUCCGCCCGACGAUGAGCAUGGCGAGGUUGGCCGCGGCGGCGUUGACGAGCGAGCCGACGAGGAACAUGCUCCCCCCGAUGACCAUGAUGGCCUUGCGGCCGACCCGCCGGGUGACCCGGCUCGCCACCAGCGUGCCCACCAUGCCGAAGGCGUAGAGCGAGGAGGUGAAGGCCGUGAGCGCCUGGUCGUUGUACAUGCAGUAGACGUCCUUGCUCGCGUGCCUCGUCGUCUUGAGUAA
rnacentral:rRNA from 1 species